rnacentral:rRNA from 1 species
UACGUAGGGGGCAAGCGUUGUCCGGAUUUAUUGGGCGUAAAGAGCUCGUAGGCGGCUUGUCGCGUCGACUGUGAAAACCCGUGGCUCAACCAUGUGGUCUGCAGUCGAUACGGGCAGGCUAGAAUUCGGUAGGGGAGACUGGAAUUCCUGGUGUAGCGGUGAAAUGCGCAGAUACCAGGAGGAACACCGGUGGCGAAGGCGGGUCUCUGGGCCGAUAUUGACGCUGAGGAGCGAAAGCGUGGGGAGCGAACAGG